UAGGGAAUCUUCCACAAUGGACGAAAGUCUGAUGGAGCAACGCCGCGUGAGUGAUGAAGGGUUUCGGCUCGUAAAACUCUGUUGUUGGAGAAGAACGGGUGUCAGAGUAACUGUUGACAUCGUGACGGUAUCCAACCAGAAAGCCACGGCUAACUACGUGCCAGCAGCCGCGGUAAUACGUAGGUGGCAAGCGUUGUCCGGAUUUAUUGGGCGUAAAGCGAGCGCAGGCGGUUUUUUAGGUCUGAUGUGAAAGCCUUCGGCUUAACCGGAGAAGUGCAUCGGAAACCGGGAGACUUGAGUGCAGAAGAGGACAGUGGAACUCCAUGUGUAGCGGUGAAAUGCGUAGAUAUAUGGAAGAACACCAGUGGCGAAGGCGGCUGUCUGGUCUGCAACUGACGCUGAGGCUCGAAAGCAUGGGUAGCGAACAGGAUUAGAUACCCUGGUAGUCCAUGCCGUAAACGAUGAGUGCUAAGUGUUGGAGGGUUUCCGCCCUUGCAGUGCUGCAGCUAACGCAUUAAGCACUCCGCCUGGGGAGUACGA
rnacentral:rRNA from 1 species